rnacentral:rRNA from 1 species
UGAGGAAUAUUGGUCAAUGGGCGGGAGCCUGAACCAGCCAAGUAGCGUGCAGGAUGACGGCCCUAUGGGUUGUAAACUGCUUUUGCGCGGGGAUAAAGUGCGCCACGUGUGGCUCAUUGCAGGUACCGCGCGAAUAAGGACCGGCUAAUCCGUGCCAGCAGCCGCGGUAAUACGGAGGGUGCAAGCGUUAAUCGGAAUAACUGGGCGUAAAGGGCAUGCAGGCGGUUCAUCAAGUAGGAUGUGAAAUCCCCGGGCUCAACCUGGGAACAGCAUACUAAACUGGUGGACUAGAGUAUUGCAGGGGGAGACGGAAUUCCAGGUGUAGCGGUGGAAUGCGUAGAUAUCUGGAAGAACACCAAAGGCGAAGGCAGUCUCCUGGGCAAAUACUGACGCUCAUAUGCGAAAGCGUGGGUAGCAAACAGGAUUAGAUACCCUGGUAGU